CCCCUCUCAGGGUCUCAACUGGAGAGUUUCCAGUACUCUACCAGUCUUGGCUAAGGGAGGGAGAGUUAAACAGAGGCCAACCCAUUUAAUUCCUAGUUUGGACAGUGGCUAGAGAGUGAAAGGCAAUCUAUUGCAAGU